rnacentral:lncRNA from 1 species
GGCUAGCUCUGCUUUCAGUCGGCAGCCUCUCCUUUCAGUCGGCCACAGCUCCCUUUCAGUCGGCCAGCCUCUCCUUUCAGUCGGCCACAGCCUCUCCUUUCAGUCGGCCACAGCCCUCCUUUCAGUCGGCCAGCCCUUCCUUUCAGUCGGCCCACCUCUCCUUCAGCGGCCAGCUCCUUUCAGUCGGCCACAGCUCCUCUCAGUCGGCCAGCCUCUCCUUUCAGUCGGGCAGCCUCUCUUUCAGUCGGCACAGCCCUCCUUUCAGUCGGCCACAGCCUCCUUUCAGUCGGCCAGCCUCUCCUUUCAGUCGGCUGGCCUCUGCUUUCAGUCGGGCAGCCUCUCCUUUCAGUCGGCCACAGCCUCUCCUUUCAGUCGGCCACCUCUCCUUCAGUCCGGCCACACCUCUCCUUUCAGUCGGCCACAGCCUCUCCUUUCAGUCGGCCAGCCUCUCUUGCAGGCGCCAGCCUCUCCUUUCAGUCGGCCAGCCUCCCUUUCAGUCGGCCACAGCCUCACCUUUCGUCGGACAGCCUCUCCUUUCAGUCGGGCAGCCUCGCCUUUCAGUCGGCCACAGCCUCUCCUUUCAGUCGGCCACAGCCCCCUUUCAGUCGGGCAGCCUCUCCUUUCAGUCGGCCACAGCCUCUCCUUUCAGUCGGCCACAGCCUCUCUUUCAGUCGGCCACAGCCUCUCCUUUCAGUCGGCCACAGCCUCUCUUUCAGUCGGCCGCUCUCCUUCAGCGCCAGCCUCUCCUUUCAGUUGGCCACAGCUCUCCUUUCAGUCGGCCACAGCCUCUCCUUUCAGUCGGGCAGCCUCUCCUUUCAGUCGGGCAGCCUCUCCUUCAGUCGGGCAGCCUCCUUUCAGUCGGGCAGCCCUUUCAAGGUCUUCCUGUCUGUUUCUUUCUGCAGUCCAGCCUCUCCUUUCAGUCGGCCAGCCUCUCCUUCAGUCGCAGUCUCCCUUUCUCGGGCAGCCUCUCCUUUCAGUCGGCCAGCCUCUCCUUUCAUCAGGCAGCCCUUUCAAGGUCUUCCUGUCCGUUUCUUUCUGCAGUCCUGCCCUCCUUUCAGUCGGCCAGCCUCUCCUUUCAGUCGGCCAGCCUCUCCUUUCAGUCGGCAGUCUCUCCUUUCAGUCGGCCAGUCUCUCCUUUCAGUCGGGCAGCCCUCCUUUCAGUCGGCCAGUCUCUCCUUUCAGUCGGCCAGUCUCUCCUUUCAGUCGGCCACAGCCUCUCCUUCAGUCGGGCAGCCUCUCCUUCAGUCCGCCACAGCCUCUCCUUCAGUCGGCCAGUCUCUCUUUAGUCGGGCAGCCUCUCCUUUCAGUCGGCCAGUCCUCAUUUCAGUCGGCCACCUCUCCUUUCAGUCGGGCAGCCUCUCCUUUCAGUCGGCCACAGCCUCUCCUUUCAGUCGGCCACAGCCUCUCCUUUCAGUCGGGCAGCCUCUCCUUUCAGUCGGCCAGCCUCUCCUUUCAGUCGGGCAGCCCUUUCAAGGAGGUCCUGUCCGUUUCUUUCUGCAGUCCUGCCUGUGCCCCUGGACGGUCUGCGGCUCUUCGACGCUGGAAUCCUACAGAAAAAAACAUGUACACAACCCAGUUAUUAGGAUUGUUCACUACAUGGUUUUGGUUUUAUGUAUAAACCAUAAUGAUUUUCAUGCAGAAGAGUUGAGUAUAAC